GCUUGCUUCUCGCUGACGAGCGGCGGACGGGUGAGUAAUACUUAGGAAUCUACCUAGUAGUGGGGGAUAGCUCGGGGAAACUCGAAUUAAUACCGCAUACGACCUACGGGAGAAAGGGGGCAACUUGUUGCUCUCGCUAUUAGAUGAGCCUAAGUCGGAUUAGCUAGAUGGUGGGGUAAAGGCCUACCAUGGCGACGAUCUGUAGCUGGUCUGAGAGGAUGAUCAGCCACACCGGGACUGAGACACGGCCCGGACUCCUACGGGAGGCAGCAGUGGGGAAUAUUGGACAAUGGGGGCAACCCUGAUCCAGCCAUGCCGCGUGUGUGAAGAAGGCCUUUUGGUUGUAAAGCACUUUAAGCAGUGAAGAAGACUCCAUGGUUAAUACCCAUGGACGAUGACAUUAGCUGCAGAAUAAGCACCGGCUAACUCUGUGCCAGCAGCCGCGGUAAUACAGAGGGUGCAAGCGUUAAUCGGAAUUACUGGGCGUAAAGCGAGCGUAGGUGGCUUGAUAAGUCAGAUGUGAAAGCCCCGGGCUUAACCUGGGAACGGCAUCUGAUACUGUUAGGCUAGAGUAGGUGAGAGGAAGGUAGAAUUCCAGGUGUAGCGGUGAAAUGCGUAGAGAUCUGGAGGAAUACCGAUGGCGAAGGCAGCCUUCUGGCAUCAUACUGACACUGAGGUUCGAAAGCGUGGGUAGCAAACAGGAUUAGAUACCCUGGUAGUCCACGCCGUAAACGAUGUCUACUAGUCGUUGGGUCCCUUGAGGACUUAGUGACGCAGCUAACGCAAUAAGUAGACCGCCUGGGGAGUACGGCCGCAAGGUUAAAACUCAAAUGAAUUGACGGGGGCCCGCACAAGCGGUGGAGCAUGUGGUUUAAUUCGAUGCAACGCGAAGAACCUUACCUGGUCUUGACAUAUCUAGAAUCCUGCAGAGAUGCGGGAGUGCCUUCGGGAAUUAGAAUACAGGUGCUGCAUGGCUGUCGUCAGCUCGUGUCGUGAGAUGUUGGGGUUAAGUCCCGCAACGAGCGCAACCCUUGUCCUUAGUUACCAGCGGUUUGGCC
rnacentral:rRNA from 1 species